ensembl:lncRNA
GAACAGUGGGGAUCGGUGAUUGGUUGUUGGGAACAGUGGUGAUCGGUGAUUGGUUGUUGGGAACAGUGGUGAUCGGUGAUUGGUUGUUUGGAACAGUGAUGAUUGGUUGUGGUGAUCGGUGAUUGGUUGAUGGGAACAGUGAUGAUCGGUGAUUGGUUGAUGGAACAGUGGUGAUCGGUGAUUGGUUGAUGGGAACAGUGAUGAUCGGUGAUUGGUUGAUGGAACAGUGGUGAUCGGUGAUUGGUUGUUGGGAACAGUGGUGAUCGGUGAUUGGUUGUUGGGAACAGUGGUGAUCGGUGAUUGGUUGAUGGGAACAGUGGUGAUUGGUGAUUGGUUGUUUGGAACAGUGAUGAUUGGUUGUGG